rnacentral:snoRNA from 1 species
GCGAGAUGAUGAUGAUCAACCGAUAAAUUUCAUGAAUGGAAAAAAUCCUCCUACUCAUUCUGA